GUCUGACGGAGCAACGCCGCGUGAGUGAUGAAGGCUUUCGGGUCGUAAAACUCUGUUGUUAGGGAAGAACAAGUGCUAGUUGAAUAAGCUGGCACCUUGACGGUACCUAACCAGAAAGCCACGGCUAACUACGUG
rnacentral:rRNA from 1 species